rnacentral:rRNA from 1 species
GACGAACGCUGGCGGCGUGCUUAACACAUGCCAGUCGAACGGAAAGGCCCUGCUUUUGUGGGGUGCUCGAGUGGCGAACGGGUGAGUAACACGUGAGUAACCUGCCCUUGACUUUGGGAUAACUUCAGGAAACUGGGGCUAAUACCGGAUAGGAGCUCCUGCUGCAUGGUGGGGGUUGGAAAGUUUCGGCGGUUGGGGGUGGACUCGCGGCUUAUCAGCUUGUUGGUGGGGUAGUGGCUUACCAAGGCUUUGACGGGUAGCCGGCCUGAGAGGGUGACCGGCCACAUUGGGACUGAGAGACGGCCCAGACUCCUACGGGAGGCAGCAGUGGGGAAUAUUGCACAAUGGGCGGAAGCCUGAUGCAGCAACGCCGCGUGCGGGAUGACGGCCUUCGGGUUGUAAACCGCUUUCGCCUGUGACGAAGCGUGAGUGACGGUAAUGGGUAAAGAAGCACCGGCUAACUACGUG